rnacentral:lncRNA from 1 species
GGACAAUCCCACGAGCAAGAGGGGCAGCUGUGUUGUACUUUAUCUCUCCCGUGAGGGCUACCACAGGGCGGCCAGCCAGGCUGCAUGGGGCCAGCCAGCCUGUAUGGACCCAGGGUCGCGGCGUGGGUCACCCGGGAGGCUGCAUCCGGAGUCCGCGGGGCCCGGAGCCAGAGAGAGAAGGGAGGUUCCUCGGUCAAAAGAGACAUCCAGAGUCCAUUUCCAGCUACUGGAACAAUAACCAAGAUAUGAACACUGAAACAAUGCCCCAGGGUGUGUUAAACCCCAGGAACAACUAUGGGGAUGGUACCAACAAGAACGUGAUCAGAAAGGAAUGCUGGACACCAGAUGGAAACCAAGGUCACUAGAUCAGAGGCUGACUUUGCUAUUCUCACACCCAGGACCACGAACUGGAGAUGUGAUGGGGAAGAUUGGAUAAAUACUUCUUCAGUAAGAAAAAGAGUCAACUUCUUGGUUCUCUUUCAAGCUGUUAUGGAAGAUCUUUUCUUCACGGGCAACAUGAAAAUGAAAAGAUAUGUCAUGCUGUGGAUCAUCUUCCUUCCAAAGGACCAGCUUCCUACCGUGGAGACCUAUGGAGCUCCUGGAAUAGCCGCCAAGUCCUUCAGCAUCCCCCUGGAAGCACUGGAAGUAAAUUAAAUACAUUUAAAUAGGACUUCCAUGGAGUCAGUGACUGGGAAUCAGCAUGCCAAUGCAGGGAAUAUGAACCUGUGCUGCCUAACAAGAGAAGUCACCACAGUGAGAACCUGUGCACUGCAACAAAGAGGAGCCCCUACUCUCCACGACUAGACGAAGACCCAGCACAAUCAAAAACAGGUAAAUAAAGUAAAAAAAAAAGACAGCACUUAAAAAGAUAUAUAUAAAUAUAGUCUUUAAAAAAGUCAAGUAGUUUUCAUUCCUUCUUCCCUAUCAAACACCCAGUUUUCAUUAAAUUAAUGAAUUCAGUGGCUCAGAUGGUAAAGAAUCCUCCUACAGUGCUGGAGACCUGGGUUUGAUCCCUGGGUUGGGAAAGAUCUCCUGGAGGAGGGCAUGGUGACCCACUCCAGUAUUCGUGCUUGAGAAAUCCCAUGGACAGAGUAGCCUGGCAGGCUACAGUCCAUGAGGUCACAAAGAGCUGGAUGCAGCUAAGCGACUAAGCACAAUGACUUCAACUAUCUCAUCCUCUGCUGCCUCCUUCCCCUUUUGCCUUCAAUCUUUCCCAGCAUCAGGGCCUUUUCCAAUGAGUCGACUGUUCCCAGAGGAUGAGAUGGUUGGAUAGCAUCACUGACUCAAUGGACAUGAAAUUGGGCAAACUCCGGGAGAUAGUGAGGGAUGGGGAGACCUGGUGUGCUGCAGUCCAUGUGGUCACAAAGAGUCGGACAUGACUGAACAACAAAAAUGCCUUCAAAUUGCUCACAUCAUCAACUUCUCCUAAAGGAUAUUUGGAGCAUAGAGUAUUCUAGAAACAAAGCUAAAAGCUUCUUGUUAUGAAACUGUUCACCAAGCAUCAAUCUCUCAGUGAUGGGGCUGAAGAUAUGAACAGCUUUAGAGCCCUGAUCAUCAUCUCCCCAUUCAUCAGAGAAACCGGACCUCCAAAGUCACAGAGCAGAGCCAAGGAUGGACCCAGAGAUGCUUAGGCCAGGGUAUUUGAGGACAGAGAGUAGAUAGUGAUGGGAAUCUUCAGGUCAUAUGAAAAAGGUGUUUCUAGGGCUGUAGAUAUCCAUUCCUUUGUCCAGUUUAGCUCAGGGGUCUCAAAUUACAACGUAUCACCCUGUCCUGAAGCAUUUGCCCUAAGAAGACUGAAAAGUAGUGUUUAGAGUCAAAUAUAUCCCUUCUCCCCUUUUUUUUGUAGUUCUAGUAACUCCACUCUGGCUUCCUAGGUGGCUCAGUGAUAAAGAAUACACCUGCCAAUGCAGGAGACGUGGGUUCAGUCUCUGGGUCAGGAAGAUCCUCUGCAGAAGGAAAUGGCAACCCACUCUAGUAUUCUUGCCUGGGAAAUCUCAUGGACAGAGAAGCCUUGUCGGCUAUAGUUUAUGAGGUCGCAAGAGUAGGACAUGACUUAGUGACUAAACAACAAGAAACUCCACUCGUAUGUGGGAUCAAAGAAUGAGUUUCCUCUACCUAGAAAAGAAUUUUUUCUUUAACUGAACCCUUAGCUUCUUUGAAAGAUUCAAUUAAGUCCGCCAGAUUUGGGAAAAUAAACCUGGUAAUCAGUGGAGGAAGUAAAGCGCUUGCCAGCCGUCUUCACAUCUCUCUAUUCUCACUGACAUCGUAACUAGCCUCCAAAUUCAUUUAUCCUCAUUUCUUUCUCCAAGGCACUUUCCAACAGAGCAAGCUAGUGCUUGUGAGUGCUUAUUUGUGUUUGUAUAUGGGUGGGUUUUGGAGUCCGAAUAUCCCUGGUUGUGGAAUAUGCUUGAUGUUUCCUCUGAAAAAAUAUCAGAGGAAAAAGAAAAGGGUAUUUCUGGGAAUCUUGCUGUUAUUCCACUUACCCAUCUAGUUGACUUUUUAAUUUUCAGCCACAUUUUAAUAAAAGACUUUGAAUAGCUCUGCUUUUAUGAUUUAAAUGGACUUUCAAAUUGGGAUUUAACCAUCUGAUAUAACAAAGUGGGUGGACUUCAGUCUUCGGAGGAAAAAGAAUAAACAUCCUGAAAGCUGUAAUUAAAAUUUUCCAUUUUCCUCCAACCCUCUUAUUGCAAUUAUUGUCACACUUGAAAUAGCCAGUGUCCAAAUUCAAACCUCAAGUUUUGCAAAAAGCCUUCAAUUCGAGGUAGUGGGGUGGGGAUGGAGGCAGGGUGGAGGGAGUGUGUGUUGGGGGGUGGGGGUGAGGCAGCUGAAGUCAUUUUGGUAAAAAUCCAGUUAUGUUGAAUGAGGUCCACAUGGAGAAUUGCUGAGGAAGGUAUGAAGUCAGACCUAAGGAAAGAUGACAGGAAAACUUCAAUACAGAGCAACUGGGAUAUAAAAGGUGAAGAUAGGUAGAUAUCACAGAUGACUAAGAAAAUGGCAACUCUAUGUAGUAACUGUGUAAUUGGCCUUCCCAAUACAGACCCCUCCGCCAGGCUCUCUGCUUUUGUUCUUCUCAGAAGUAUCCAGAUAAUAGUGUCUGAUGCAGGUUUCCUGACUUGUUUUACAGAUGCUAAAACCCCCACCAAGUGGAAGAAAUCAAUGACUUGAUGACCAUGAGCACAUAGCCCCCCGGACCUACUGGGGCCUAGCUAAGGAUCUAUAUUGUUAACCCCUGUGACAGGAUCCUGUUACCUCACCAUCAACCAAUCAGAGAAUUGUGCACGAGCUGAUCACAGUCUGGGAUGCUCCUCCCUUACGUGGCUUUUAAAAAUGCUUAGCUGAAACCAAUGGGGAGUUUGAGCAUUUUUAGAAUCCUGAACUUCUUGCUUGGCUCCCUGCAAUAAAUACAGCACUUUCUUUCACCACAACCGAGUGUUAGUAGAGUGGCUCCACUGCAUGUGGGCAAGCCAACCCAGUACUACCCAUUCCCCUCUCCGUAGGGUUAUGCUUGACUCAUGCUGUGUUUCACACUAGAGGUCAAGAUUCAGAGUUUCUAAGGCCUGAAGCCUAUGUAGUGAGGCUGUUUAUUAAAAACAAACAGAUUUAUCCACUCACCAAACUUUCCAAAAGGGCUUCCCAGUUGGCUCAGUGGGUAAAGAAUCGACCUGCAAUGUAGGAGAUAAAGGACACUAGGGUUCAAUCCCUGGGUCGGGAAGAUCCCCUGGAGGAGGAAAUGGCAACCCACUCCAGUAUUCUUGCCUGGGGGAUCCCAUGGACAGAGGAGCCUGGUAGGCUCCAGUCCAGGGAGUCAUAAGAGUUGGACACCACUGAGCUACUAAGCACACAGACUUUCCAAAAACAAGCGGUAGUAAAAGUACACUGGGGAGUCCAGAGCCUCAGUAAAUUUCCUUGUGUCCACACUGCCCUUCAGUUGUUUCUGCCUUCAGUCUAUGUCAAGAACCUUUUUUCUAUCUGGACCCCUACCAUCCUGGAUCCAACUGCCUUCAUUUCUUGCCUGAACUACUGAAACAGUCUUCUGACCAUCUGAUCUUCCUUCAUCUUCCCUUGUGUCUUUACAGUCUACUCAACCCACAGCAGUCACGUUAGAUCCUGUCCUUGGUUGGUUCAAAAUCCUCCAAACGUUUGUCACAGCCAGUAUAUGAAGUUCUCACCAUACCCUUUGUGGUCAUGCUUUAUUGGCUCACACUGUGUCUCUCACAAGUUUUC